GGCGGUUCCGUCAUGGUUUUUUCCAACUCAUGCUGGAAUCUAUCCAAUCUCUGUUUUUCUUGUUGUCUGCACAUUGUUCCAUCAUUGACCAACUUCUUGAACUUAAUAGAGAUGGGAAUGCCACUUCCCCUGGCAAACCUGUCCCUACAUGCACUCUCUGUAGCUUCCUUUUGAUUUUGAUUUUGAUUUGAGGUGGACGUAAAACUGUGAUUUGAUUCAUCAUGAGUUUGGCUGCACUCGGAUGACAUUG
rnacentral:misc_RNA from 1 species